rnacentral:rRNA from 1 species
CAAUAGCGUAUAUUAAAGUUGUUGCGGUUAAAAAGCUCGUAGUUGGAUUUCGGCGGACAGGGGGCGGUUCGAUAUUUGUCGCUACUGCCCCAUUUGUCCGUGUUUUUGGCGGAGGUUUCAGGGUGCUCUUCACCGAGUGUCCUGGGAUGCCGUCAGGUUUACUUUGAAGAAAUUAGAGUGCUCAAAGCAGGCUUUACACGCUUGAAUAUUCGUGCAUGGAAUAAUAGAAUAGGACUCGGUUCUAUUUUGUUGGUUUGUUGGGACUGAGUAAUGAUUAAGAGGGACAGUUGGGGGCAUUUGUAUUUCGUCGCUAGAGGUGAAAUUCUUAGAUUGACGAAAGACAAACUGCUGCGAAAGCGUCUGCCAAGGAUGUUUUCAUUGA